rnacentral:rRNA from 1 species
UACAGAGGUGGCAAGCGUUGUUCGGAAUUACUGGGCGUAAAGGGCGCGUAGGCGGUCCCGUCAGUCCCUUGUGAAAUCCCCCGGCUCAACUGGGGAACUGCAAGGGAUACAGCGGGGCUUGAGUUCGGGAGAGGGAAGCGGAAUUCCGGGUGUAGCGGUGAAAUGCGUAGAUAUCUGGAAGAACACCAGUGGCGAAGGCGGCUCACUGGUCCGGUACUGACGCUGAGGUGCGAAAGCGUGGGGAGCAAACAGG